AGCAGCCGCGGUAAUUCCAGCUCCAAUAGCGUAUAUUAAAGUUGCUGCAGUUAAAAAGCUCGUAGUUGAAUUUCGGGACUAAUAUGUCGGUCGUGCCUCGGUACGUACUGGUUUAUUGGUUUCUCCUUUCUGAAGAACCAUGAUGUCAUUUAUUUGGUGUCGUGGGGAAUCAGGACUGUUACUUUGAAAAAAUUAGAGUGUUUAAAGCAGGCUCACGCUUGAAUACAUUAGCAUGGAAUAAUGAAAUAGGACGUUUGAUUCUAUUUUGUUGGUUUCUAGGAUCGACGUAAUGAUUAAUAGGGAUAGUUGGGGGCAUUAGUAUUCAAUUGUCAGAGGUGAAAUUCUUGGAUUUAUUGAAGACUAACUACUGCGAAAGCAUUUGCCAAGGAUGUUUUCAUUAAUCAAGAACGAAAGUUAGGGGAUCGAAGACGAUCAGAUACCGUCGUAGUCUUAACCAUAAACUAUGCCGACUAGGGAUCGGAUGAUGUUAAUUUUUUAAUGUACUCAUUCGGCGCCUUAC
rnacentral:misc_RNA from 1 species